rnacentral:rRNA from 1 species
ACAGACGAGGAGCUUGCUCCUCUGACGUUAGCGGCGGACGGGUGAGUAGCACGUGGAUAACCUACCUAUAAGACUGGGAUAGCUUCGGGAAACCGGAGCUAAUACCGGAUAAUAUAUUGAACCGCAUGGUCCAAUAGUGAAAGACGGUUUUGCUGUCACUUAUAGAUGGAUCCGCGCCGCAUUAGCUAGUUGGUAAGGGAACGGCUUACCAAGGGCAACCAAUGCGUUAUCCCACCCUUGAGAGGGUGAUCGGCCACACUGGAACUGAGACACGGUCCAGACUCCUACGGGAGGCAGCAGUAGGGGAAUCUUCCGCAAUGGGCGAAAGCCUGACGGAGCAACGCCGCGUGAGUGAUGAAGGUCUUCGGAUCGUAAAACUCUGUUACUAGGGAAAGACAAAUGUGGUAAGUAACUAUGCACGUCCUUGACGGUACCUAAUCAGAAAAGCCC